CCCUGAGAGCUGAUUCAACCAAAGGAUAAGAUCUUUCAACUUUGACAAUGACCCCAAACUAGAUGGUAUUUUCCCAGUCAAGUAAUUAAAGCUAAGAUCAAGUGACACCAACUGAGAACAGUUGCUUAGACUGUCAGGUAUAGGGCCUGUUAACCAAUUAUUCUGAAGGUACAACACUUUCAAGCUACGACACCAAUUGAGAACAGUUGCUUAGACUGUCAGGUAUAGGGCCUGUAAACCAAUUAUUCUGAAGGUACAACACUUUCAAGCGACUCAUAGGAUCUUUACAAAUACCAGAAGGAAUAAUACCUGUGAUAUUAUUAGAACUCACAUCCAAAGUCUCCAAUUUCAGCAAGUUGGAGAAAGACUCG
rnacentral:lncRNA from 1 species